GGAGUUGUGGCUCAGCGGUAGAGCACACGCUCAGCACAUGUGAGACCCUGGGUUCCAUCCUCAGCACCA
rnacentral:tRNA from 1 species